rnacentral:rRNA from 1 species
AGAGUUUGAUCCUGGCUCAGAGCGAACGCUGGCGGCAGGCCUAACACAUGCAAGUCGAGCGCACUCUUCGGAGUGAGCGGCGGACGGGUGAGUAACACGUGGGAACGUGCCCUUUGGUUCGGGAUAACUGCGGGAAACUGCAGCUAACACCGGAUACGCCGGAAACGGGAAAGGUUACGCCGAAGGAGCGGCCCGCGUCGGAUUAGCUAGUUGGCGGGGUAAAGGCCCACCAAGGCUACGAUCCGUAGCUGGUCUGAGAGGAUGAUCAGCCACACUGGGACUGAGACACGGCCCAGACUCCUACGGGAGGCAGCAGUGGGGAAUCUUGCGCAAUGGGCGAAAGCCUGACGCAGCCAUGCCGCGUGAAUGAUGAAGGUCUUAGGAUUGUAAAAUUCUUUCAGCGGGGACGAUAAUGACGGUACCCGCAGAAGAAGCCCCGGCUAACUUCGUGCCAGCAGCCGCGGUAAUACGAAGGGGGCUAGCGUUGCUCGGAUUUACUGGGCGUAAAGGGCGCGUAGGCGGAUGACCAAGUUGGGGGUGAAAGCCCGGGGCUCAACCUCGGAACAGCCUUCAAAACUGGUCGUCUUGAGUUCGGGAGAGGUGAGUGGAACUCCGAGUGUAGAGGUGAAAUUCGUAGAUAUUCGGAAGAACACCAGUGGCGAAGGCGACUCACUGGCCCGAUACUGACGCUGAGGCGCGAAAGCGUGGGGAGCAAACAGGAUUAGAUACCCUAGUAGUCC